rnacentral:rRNA from 1 species
UACGAAGGGGGCUAGCGUUGUUCGGAAUCACUGGGCGUAAAGGGCGCGUAGGCGGCCGAUCAAGUCGGGGGUGAAAGCCUGUGGCUCAACCACAGAAUUGCCUUCGAUACUGUUUGGCUUGAGACCGGAAGAGGUUAGUGGAACUGCGAGUGUAGAGGUGAAAUUCGUAGAUAUUCGCAAGAACACCAGUGGCGAAGGCGGCUCACUGGUCCGGUACUGACGCUGAGGUGCGAAAGCGUUGGGAGCAAACAGG